UCGAAAAGCGUUGAAAUGACGUCACUUAGGUCACAGGCAGGUCACAGGGGAAAGUGAUCGAACCGCCAUUUUCCCAACUGCGCAUGCUCCAAAUCCAAAGAUGGCUGUCGACAGUGAACGUGGCGACUCAGCAUCACAGAACAAAAGGGCCCCAGCAACAACAGUGUUACCCCAGAAGGCCUGGCUGUGGGACGCAUCAUGCAGCGGACUGGACAAAGACACAAGCCUGUUCUGCCAAGCAAAAAGGACUUUGUCGUACAUAUGAAACUCCACCAUGACUGUGACACUGAACACACCGUUUGUUUUCCAGCUGUAAGUGCUUGUAGUCGUACAGUCACAUUCCCCUCAGCUCACCUGAAAACAUCCAGUGAAUUCAAAAACAUUUGGACACUAGCGAACUUUUGACAGUGUAACCACUCAGUCUAAAGGAAAACAACAAAGUCACUGUGACAUGUGUAAUCAUAUGUUUUAUUCUUUUGUAAUUUUUGUGACAACUUCCUGUUUCAGUCAACUUUUUGUAUUCACUGUUAGAAAACAAUUGUUUUUCUGUUAAUAAUGGUUUACUCCAAAGUUAGUUUUUGCUAAAUACUCUUCAGGGUACCCACAGUAAUUUUUGGUUUUCACAAAUUUAAUUCUGAUGAAUGUAAUGGAAAUUUCAAGGGAAAGUUCAAUGUUUUUCAAUAAAAAUGUUUGGGA